AUUGAACGCUGGCGGCAGGCCUAACACAUGCAAGUCGAGCGAGCGGCGGACGGGUGAGUUAUGUCUGGGAAACUGCCCGAUGGAGGGGGAUAACUACUGGACACGGUAGCUAAUACCGCAUACUAUCAGAUGUGCCCAGAUGGGAUGAGCUGGUAGGUGGGGUAACGGCUCACCUAGGCGACGAUCCCUAGCUGGUCUGAGAGGAUGACCAGCCACACUGGAACUGGGACACGGUCCAGACUCCUACGGGAGGCAGCGGUGGGGAAUAUGGCGCAAUGGGCGCAAGCCUGAUACAGCCAUGCCGCGUGUGUGAGGAGGGCCUUCGGGUUGUAAAGCACUUUCAGCGGGGAGGCGUUACCCGCAGAAGAAGCACCGGCUAACUCCGUGCCAGCAGCCGCGGUAAUUC
rnacentral:rRNA from 1 species